rnacentral:rRNA from 1 species
AUGGCUGCCGACAUGAACCAAUGCCCCUGCGCCGCCGCUCCCAGUCCUUUUCCAGACACAAAUAGUAACUUAGAGAAGCUGCUACCAUUUCGGAUCGGAGCUCUGGUCGUCGUAGCCGUGGUCAUGCUGUUCGUCCUGCACGUCCUCGGCUCCUUACGCCGGAGGUCGAGCAACAAGGCCCUCCACGGCGUCGUGGUGGGGGCCUACUCCCUCUCCUACGCGCUGGUCAGCUACACCCUCGGCCUGAUGCAGUCUUCCACGUACUACGUCGACGAGUUCCCCAUAUGGGCGGUGUGCCUGCUCAUGCUCGUCGGCAACGCCGACUGCCUGACGGCCAGCAGCCUCAACGACAUCGAGAGUUGGAAGAGCUACAUCGUGAAGCACCUCAUCCACGGAAUGUGGGGGGUGUGGAUCGUUGUGUACUUCGGCUUGCUGCCGGGGGCGUCGGACUUCCCGGUGACCAUGAAGGAGGAUGUGCUACGGGCAUGCGAUGAGAGGCCCGACCCGGUGACCAUGCAAGGCUACCGGUACGUGGUCUCCGGCGAGCGCAAGCAGAAAUUCCUCGUGAAGCGACCCGAGUACGUGUUAUCUUACGACAGGCAGUGCGUGAAGAUGACCACCGUGGAGCAGAUCUGGUCGUGCACGGGCAGCCUCCUGAGUUCUGACGGCGGCGGGUUGCUCAAGGACAUGUGCCUCUCCAUGGCCUUGUCCAAGAUGCUCAACCGAAGGUUCGCUGGUUUCGAGCUAGUCGAGGCGGAGCUCGAGAAGACCCACGAUUUUGUGUUCCGCGGGCUGCUCGCCGGCGACAAGCAGAAGCAGUGCGAGCGGGUGUUCAGGGUCGUGGAAGAAGAGCUUGCUUUCGUCCAUGACUUGUACUACACAAGGUACCCUUAUCUCUACCACAAGGGUCGCUACUUCGCCUUCUACUUGCCCUUCGCCAUGAUUGGCCUCUGCCUCUGGGUCAUUCACCUGCUCUUCGAGAAGAACAAGUUCCCGUUGUUGACCACUACCACAAUGGUUUUAAUGGUGGUGGUGGCAUUCUUGGAGCUAUUCCAGCUGUACCUGUACGCGGCAUCAGGGUGGUGCAAGGUGGCGUUGAUAAGGAGCUACGCCGCCAUGCCUGCGUCUGCGUUGCAAAGGAACGGCUUCUGUCAGAUGCUUAUUGGUCUUCUAUUGAGGUUGAAGGCGCUUCGCCCGUGGGAGGACAAGCUCGGCCAGUACUCUCUCAUCGACGCGUUCGACCGAACGCGUCGUGCUAGCAAGUGCCUGCACUGCAUGACAUGCUGCCUAGUCGACAAGCCUAAGAAGGGUCGCCACAGAGCCAAGCCUGUCAAGGUGUCGAGGCAGCUGAAGCAAGCAGUCGUCGAUUCUCUCAUCGAUAGCGAGGGCCGCCUCACCAAUGGGGUCAGAUCCCUGAGAAACAAUGGCGUCGAGCAACUAUUGGAGAGGGCUAGCAACAGAACGACGACGACCCACACCGUUCUGGUGUGGCACAUUGCUACAACCCUCUGCAAGCACAGCCUCGAUGAGCAAGCAACAGACGGGCGGCUGCCCGGAAAUGAUGGAAGCACGAUUGACACGGACUCCUCGGUGGCCUCCAGCUUGUCGCUCUACUGCGCGUACCUCAUCGCCUUCGAGCCGGAUCUCUUGCCCGAUCACAGCUCCGUUUCGACAUUGAUACUCGGGGAAUCCAUCAGAGAAGCGCGCAAGCUGCUCAAAGGGGCCAAGACCAUGAAGCGCAAGUAUGAGAAGCUCAUGGACAUCAGUGAUGACCGGUCUGCCGCCGGCGACGUGUCGCUCGUCGUGGAGGGCGCUCGACUUGCGAGAAGGCUGAACGAGGACAUCCCAGACCCGGCGCGACGCUGGAGGAUCCUCUCCGAGUUCUGGGCGGAGAUGAUGCUGUACCUAGCGCCCUCCGACAACGCCCGGGCGCAUCUGGAGGCUCUGGCGACAGGAGGUGAGUUCAUCACGCACCUCUGGGCGCUGCUCACCCACGCCGGCGUGCUGCAGCGAGAUCGUGGCGCUGGCGGGCCACAGGCUGCUGUCUAA